UUCUUCCGUCCUGAUGAGGUCAUCAGUCAAGAUGGAGGUUAGCCUGAAAGACCCCCCGAAGAGGGGAGACCCUCACUCAAGUCUCGGGAUGACACGACCCCCCAAGAACUCACAAGAGACC
rnacentral:pre_miRNA from 7 species